rnacentral:rRNA from 1 species
UACAGAGGUGGCAAGCGUUGUUCGGAUUUAUUGGGCGUAAAGGGUCCGUAGGCGGUUUGGUAAGUCGGGUGUGAAAUCCCACAGCUCAACUGUGGAACUGCACUCGAAACUUCCAGACUAGAGUAUGAGAGGGGUAAAGGGAAUUCCCGGUGUAAGGGUGAAAUCUGCAGAGAUCGGGAGGAACACCAGUCGCGAAGGCGCUUUACUGGCUCAUUACUGACGCUCAGGGACGAAAGCUAGGGUAGCAAACGGG